GACGAACGCUGGCGGCGUGCCUAAUACAUGCAAGUCGAACGCUUCUUCUUUCACCGGAGCUUGCUCCACCGAAAGAAGAAGAGUGGCGAACGGGUGAGUAACACGUGGGUAACCUACCCUUCAGCGGGGGAUAACACUUGGAAACAGGUGCUAAUACCGCAUAACAAAGAAAACCACAUGGUUUUCUUUUGAAAGGCGCAAUUGCGUCACUGAAGGAUGGACCCGCGGUGCAUUAGCUAGUUGGUGAGGUAACGGCUCACCAAGGCAACGAUGCAUAGCCGACCUGAGAGGUUGAUCGGCCACAAUGGGACUGAGACACGGCCCAUACUCCUACGGGAGGCAGCAGUAGGGAAUCUUCCACAAUGGGCGCAAGCCUGAUGGAGCAACGCCGCGUGAAUGAAGAAGGUCUUCGGAUCGUAAAGUUCUGUUAUUAGAGAAGAACACGUGUAAGAGUAACUGAUUAUGCGUUGACGGUAUCUAAUCAGCAAGUCACGGCUAACUACGUGCCAGCCGCCGCCGUAAAAC
rnacentral:rRNA from 1 species